GGGGUUCUACGUCCGGCACUUCGUCAAGGACCUCGGGAUCUGCCUGUCCGAGUGCCAGACCAUGGGGCUGGCGCUGCCGGGGCUCGCGCUCGCGCACCAGCUCUACGUGUCGCUGCUCGCCCACGGCGAGGGCGGGCUCGGCACGCAGGCGCUGAUACUGGCAGUCGAGCGGCUCAACAACACCUGCCUUGACAAGAAAGGGGAGUGAAAACUGUGAAAGCCUACAAGAGUUUGGUUGAUGCAAUGCAACAUGAGGAAUUGUCUCCUCUGCUGUUGUUCCCUUGUGUAUUAUGGGACUUCUGCAUGCUCUGCCUGUUCAUGUUUUACAGUGCUCAAAGGUUCAAAUAAGAUUUGCAAAAAUGGAGUUUUUCACUUGUAUUGAUAGUAUUCAACUACUCCUAUUUGGCAAAUCAGCCUGUAGUGAAUGCCGAUCUACUUGGCAGUGAAACUAGAAUAUUCAAUGAGCUCACCCUUUGUUAACGGGUUAUAUAACUUACAUUUGCCUCAA
rnacentral:lncRNA from 1 species